UGACGUAGGUACCUUAUAAAUACCGCCCUCCUCCUCCGUCACAUCCUCUUUCCGUUGCUCUUCUCGCUUUGAGAAACUCUCCACACGAUGAGAGCCAAGUGGAGGAAGAAGCGUAUGCGCAGGCUGAAGCGUAAAAGGAGAAAGAUGAGGCAGAGGUCAAAGUAAGCCCUCAUCCCCUACCAGCUGUGAUCCUGUCUGGUGGCGGAGUACGAUCACGAGGAACCGACUUGGUGAAUUGUUGGCCAUCAAAUUCAGACAACCACACUUCUCAUGAAGCCUGCUGUGGAUGCCGACUGGAAUGCGGCAAGAUGCUGGACGGAUCUUGGAACAUCAAAAAUACAGCUGCUUUGUUCAUGGACCAUAAUAAGAUCUUGUUAAACAACUCGUGGUGUUUUGAACAAUAAAUGAACUAUGUUCUUAAAAGUUGA